GACGAACGCUGGCGGCGUGCCUAAUACAUGCAAGUAGAACGCUGAAGGAGGAGCUUGCUCUUCUGGAUGAGUUGCGAACGGGUGAGUAACGCGUAGGUAACCUGCCUGGUAGCGGGGGAUAACUAUUGGAAACGAUAGCUAAUACCGCAUAACAGUAGAUGUUGCAUGACAUUUACUUAAAAGGUGCAAUUGCAUCACUACCAGAUGGACCUGCGUUGUAUUAGCUAGUUGGUGGGGUAACGGCUCACCAAGGCGACGAUACAUAGCCGACCUGAGAGGGUGAGCGGCCACACUGGGACUGAGACACGGCCCAGACUCCUACGGGAGGCAGCAGUAGGGAAUCUUCGGCAAUGGACGGAAGUCUGACCGAGCAACGCCGCGUGAGUGAAGAAGGUUUUCGGAUCGUAAAGGUCUGUUGUAAGAGAAGAACGAGUGUGAGAGUGGAAAGUUCACACUGUGACGGUAUCUGACCAGAAAGGGACGGCUAACUACGUG
rnacentral:rRNA from 1 species